UACGAAGGGGGCUAGCGUUGCUCGGAAUUACUGGGCGUAAAGGGCGCGUAGGCGGAUAUUUAAGUUAGAGGUGAAAGCCCAGGGCUCAACCCUGGAAUAGCCUUUAAUACUGGAUAUCUUGAGUUCGGGAGAGGUGAGUGGAACUCCGAGUGUAGAGGUGAAAUUCGUAGAUAUUCGGAAGAACACCAGUGGCGAAGGCGGCUGACUGGACAUGUAUUGACGCUGAGGUGCGAAAGCGUGGGGAGCAAACAGG
rnacentral:rRNA from 1 species